ACUCAAAGGAAUAGACGGGGGCCCGCACAAGCGGUGGAGCAUGUGGUUUAAUUCGACGCAACGCGCAGAACCUUACCAGCCCUUGACAUGGCGGCUGCGGCCUCGUGAGAGCGGGGCUUCCCUUCGGGGGGCCGUUACAGGUGCUGCAUGGCUGUCGUCAGCUCGUGUCGUGAGAUGUUGGGUUAAGUCCCGCAACGAGCGCAACCCUUACCUCUAGUUGCCAGCGGGUUGGGCCGGGCACUCUAGAGGGACCGCCGGUGACAAGCCGGAGGAAGGCGGGGAUGACGUCAAGUCCUCAUGGCCCUUAUGGGCUGGGCUACACACGUGCUACAAUGGCGGUGACAGUGGGCAGCGAAAGCGCAAGCUGGAGCUAAUCCCCAAAAGCCGUCUCAGUUCGGAUCGCGGGCUGCAACUCGCCCGCGUGAAGGUGGAAUCGCUAGUAAUCGCGGAUCAGCACGCCGCGGUGAAUACGUUCCCGGGCCUUGUACACACCGCCCGU
rnacentral:rRNA from 1 species